CACCCUUGAAACACCGAUUCUCAUACGAUCACCGAAGUUAAGCAACGUUGAGCCUGGUCAGUACCGAGAUGGGUGACCGCUUGGGAAUACUGUGCUGUA